UACGUAGGGUGCGAGCGUUGUCCGGAAUUAUUGGGCGUAAAGAGCUCGUAGGCGGUGUGUCGCGUCGGUCGUGAAAACUUGGGGCUUAACCCUGAGCUUGCGGUCGAUACGGGCAUCACUGGAGUUCGGCAGGGGAGACUGGAAUUCCUGGUGUAGCGGUGAAAUGCGUAGAUAUUGGGAGGAACACCGGUGGCGAAGGCGGCUACCUGGACCGGUUCUGACGCUGAUGCGCGAAAGCGUGGGUAGCAAACAGG
rnacentral:rRNA from 1 species